AGGCACAAAGCUGAAACAUAUCGAUCAGUUUUCAAUUUUCGAUUCUAUGUGGUCGGUGUGUCGGUUGUGUAAUUUUGCCCGUCUGUUGAUUUAUCUUUCACCUAACGAGAUAUUUUGUCGUUCUCAAGGCUUAUGGUUUUUUAUAUGCCAAUUCGACAUGUAUUGUUUGGUUUUAUGAUUGUUUUACGGCGCUGACUGAUGGAGACGGGGAGAGGAGGAGAAUUGAAGGAGCCACACAAUCGUAACGAAUGGCAUGAUGAUGGAAGCGUUUUCCACUGGAGAUUAAAUUUCAUCAUGCCUUUUAAUAAGCUUCGACGGGACCAUCAAACAUUUACAUUCCAUGUUCACCAUCCGUGUGCGCGUUUGCAAUGUUUUCUAUCUUCCCCAAACAAUACAUACAUAUUUUGUUAACAAAUUCAACAACACGAAGACAAAAUACAGGCGAAUUUGUGGUGAACGCAGCUAGUCUUUGUUGAUAUAUCGCGUCAAAGGAAGGAAAGCAGCAGCAACAGCAGAAAUGUAUAAAUGAAAAUGAAAGAAUAGCGGUGAUCUGAAUGGAAUGAAAACGGAGUUUGCAGCUUCGGUAAAGUAUUGUUUUUGGGAUCAGACCAAAGCGCUCAUCUCACCAUAAUCACCAACAACAACUUCAACACGAACGUAACCAAUUUGAAUACCCAAUAAAAAACUCAUCCAUCUCAACAGUCAUGAUUGCCCACGAAGUUAGGUGUGUCUGCUAGAGGGAACGAAAGGGACAAAAAUAAUUGAGCCGACUGCGAUUCCGAUGAAGAAAUUUGUAGCUGACGGGAGUUUACUGAUGACGGUAUAAUCGCUGCGAAUAGUAUACAUCAACAGUGCACAAUUGUAUGAAUUUAUUAUAAAUAAAUAUUUGUAAAC